rnacentral:lncRNA from 1 species
CCCUCUCUGCUCCUUUCUCCUCCCUCAACAUAACUCUGGCCACCAUACAACCCCCAAACCACCACCACCUUCAUCGAUGUUCAUAAUCUGAUGAACACACAACCCAUAACUUAAAAUAAACCCAAGAAACCCUAGACUAGAAACCCAUAAAGUCUUAGAACCUUAAGAACCCUAUGAACCCUAACCUUCAUUGGUGAACCCUAACCCUCACACAUGAAUCCUAACCACGAACCCUGACAUUUCUUCCAGAACCAUAACCUUCAUCUUCUUAACCCAAAACCUUUUAUCCAUUACGAAUGUUCAUCACUCUAAUGAAC